GGAUCCAGACUUUGAUCAUGGCUCAGGAUGAACGCUAGCUACAGGCUUAACACAUGCAAGUCGAGGGGAAACGAUGGAGAAAGCUUGCUUUUUCUAGGCGUCGACCGGCGCACGGGUGAGUAACGCGUAUCCAACCUGCCCAUCACUUGGGGAUAACCUUGCGAAAGUAAGACUAAUACCCAAUGAUAUCUCUAGAAGACAUCUGAAAGAGAUUAAAGAUUUAUCGGUGAUGGAUGGGGAUGCGUCUGAUUAGCUUGUUGGCGGGGUAACGGCCCACCAAGGCGACGAUCAGUAGGGGUUCUGAGAGGAAGGUCCCCCACAUUGGAACUGAGACACGGUCCAAACUCCUACGGGAGGCAGCAGUGAGGAAUAUUGGUCAAUGGACGAGAGUCUGAACCAGCCAAGUAGCGUGCAGGAUGACGGCCCUAUGGGUUGUAAACUGCUUUUAUAAGGGAAUAAAGUGAGAGUCGUGACUCUUUUUGCAUGUACCUUAUGAAUAAGGACCGGCUAAUUCCGUGCCAGCAGCCGCGGUAAUACGGAAGGUCCGGGCGUUAUCCGGAUUUAUUGGGUUUAAAGGGAGCGUAGGCCGGAGAUUAAGCGUGUUGUGAAAUGUAGACGCUCAACGUCUGCACUGCAGCGCGAACUGGUUUCCUUGAGUACGCACAAAGUGGGCGGAAUUCGUGGUGUAGCGGUGAAAUGCUUAGAUAUCACGAAGAACUCCGAUUGCGAAGGCAGCUCACUGGAGCGCAACUGACGCUGAAGCUCGAAAGUGCGGGUAUCGAACAGGAUUAGAUACCCUGGUAGUCCGCACGGUAAACGAUGGAUGCCCGCUGUUGGUCUGAAUAGGUCAGCGGCCAAGCGAAAGCAUUAAGCAUCCCACCUGGGGAGUACGCCGGCAACGGUGCAACUCAAAUGAAUUGACGG
rnacentral:rRNA from 1 species